rnacentral:lncRNA from 1 species
GAUAGUAAGAUUUUAAUUCCAGAGAAUCAAAAUUGAAUCAACUUAGGAACGAUGUUCAAUUGCGAUAUGUUUCCCUCUAAUUUUGAUUUGGUUUACGAGCAAGAAAAAAGAAAACUUACAUGAUUAAUAAAUUAGGGGAUGAAUGAGAGAAAUAGAAACAGACCACAAAAUCAAAACAAGCCCUAAAAGAAUUGUUUCUUAAACGAUAGCUAACGGUAGCUCACAAAAGAUAUAGGCAGGCACAACAUGUGACGACAACCGUCCCUGAAUCAGUUGAGGAAGAGAUGGCAAUGGGAGGAACACAAAUGAAGUUAGUCAAGUAGAGAAAUCGGAGACCCAUGAAACCAAAUACCACUUCUACUAAAAGGGAAAUCCGAAGGAAGCAGGCCCAACAAUCAAAAAGUUGUUUUAAAAAUUGAAUUGGUAUAUAAUAUUCCCAUCUUCCAUAAUCCUGAAACCAAUUCAUAAAGAACGCAUUAAAUAAGUAAUUAAAGCGAAUGACGUCGACAAAAAAAAAGAUAGAAGAACGUAUACAUGAAAUUGAGGUCUAAGAAAUAGAAACGCUAGGAGACACAAGGAGUAGACGCCAAUCCAAAAAAUUUAGCAGAACCCUAACAAAUUUAAAGAUGCAAAGUGAACAAUUCAUUAAUUUGAGUGCAAUGAGAAUAAAAAGAUAAAGCAUAUUUCUUUAUAAAGGAGGAAAAAGAUGAACAGGAAAUAAGGCGAUGGAGGAGAUGGAGUAUGUAU